AGGCCGGUGGCCCGGGCGGCCCGGAUCCGGUCCUCGGCCCGGGCCCGCAGCCGGUGGCGGAGCUCGAGUUCGGCGAUCGGCCGGCCUGC
rnacentral:tRNA from 1 species